AUUUUUUUAAUGAGAUAACUUCGAAGAUAAUGAUGACGAUGGAUCCAUUCUUCCUCCUGAAAAUCUGCCGCAAAUAAUCAUAGUUAUCAUCGUUUGUGCUCUACUAUUUGCUGUUGCCUUGAUACUGGUUUAUGUUCUUAUUUCGCGAAAACGGAAGCGGUCAAAACGUGAUGUUGUCAGUGGCACACAGCAGCAAGACCGGGGGUAAGAUCCAAAAUAAUCUCUUAAAGUCAUAUAUCACAUUAAAAAAA